rnacentral:rRNA from 1 species
AGGGUGUAAACGCUGCAGACUUGGUGUUGGAGGCCCUUUGGGGGCAUUCAGUGCCGGAGAGAAGUUGUUAAGUCUGCUACUUGGGGAGUACGUCCGCAAGGAUGAAACUUAAAGGAAUUGGCGGGGGAGCACCGCAACGGGAGGAGCGUGCGGUUUAAUUGGAUUCAACACCGUAAAACUCACCAGGGAAGACUGAUACAUGAAGGCCGAGAUGAAGACUCUGCUAGAUUUUCAGAGAGGAGGUGCAUGGCGUCAGUGACU